rnacentral:rRNA from 1 species
UACGUAGGGGGCGAGCGUUGUCCGGAUUCAUUGGGCGUAAAGCGCGCGUAGGCGGCUUCGCAAGUCGGCCGUGAAAUCUCCCGGCUCAACUGGGAGGGGUCGGGCGAGACUGCGAGGCUCGAGGUGGGCAGAGGGCAGUGGAAUUCCGGGUGUAGUGGUGGAAUGCGUAGAGAUCCGGAGGAACACCAGUGGCGAAGGCGGCUGCCUGGGCCUGGCCUGACGCUGAGGCGCGAAAGCGUGGGGAGCGAUCCGG